UUUUAAUCUAUGCGCGGAAUCAAAUGCGAUAGACGGAAUAGGUGAGUCUAUAAAUACAUCUGGAUCUCUUUUUACAUGUUUUAGAGAUUGAAGAUGUAAAGGAAUUGACGGUCAGAGUAGUUGAUACAGAAAGUAUAUCAAUUUCUUGGAUUGGGCCAUGUCCAGCUGUAAAGGAUAUUCUACUGAAUUAUACUAUUGUAACAUACAAUGAUCAGAUCAAAAAAUCGAAAAAUAUAACAAAUCAGUCAUAUUAUAUAACAUAUAAUGUUACCGAGCUUAUUCCAUGUACAUCUUAUACAUUUGAGGUAUUUGUAGUCGUAGGACAUAUUAGAUCAAAUGGUAUUAAUAUAACGCACAAAACGAGUUCUAAUCGUGAGUAUCGUUGAUGAUAUAUAUAUGUAUUUGACGUAUUAUUAGAUAUUUAACGAUUGAUCAAUGCACAUAUUUACAUUUACAUUUUAGUUACCUAUAUCGAAAAUGUCCAAAAUUUAUUUAUUUCUGAACUUGAUAAUACUGAAAUAAACAAUGAGAAUAAAACUGGCGUGGAAUUGACUUGGGAUACUCCUAAUAAAUAUAUUAAUUGUAUUAAUUA